rnacentral:rRNA from 1 species
UACGUAGGGCGCAAGCGUUAUCCGGAAUUAUUGGGCGUAAAGAGCUCGUAGGCGGUUUGUCGCGUCUGCCGUGAAAGUCCGGGGCUCAACUCCGGAUCUGCGGUGGGUACGGGCAGACUAGAGUGAUGUAGGGGAGACUGGAAUUCCUGGUGUAGCGGUGAAAUGCGCAGAUAUCAGGAGGAACACCGGUGGCGAAGGCGGGUCUCUGGGCAGUAACUGACGCUGAGAAGCGAAAGCGUGGGUAGCGAACAGG